UUGAAUAAACCUGAUGUGGUUGUAGCUGGCCCUUUCGGGGGUAUGUGCACGCCCGUCAUCUUUAUCUUUCCACCUGUGCACUUUUUGUAGACCUGGAUGUAACAUUUUCCGAGGCAACUCGGUCGGGAGGACUGCUGUUAGCUUUCCUUGCAUAUCCAGGCCUAUGUUUUCACUUACCCCAAAGAAUGUAACAGAAUGUAUCAUUGGGCCUUGUGCCUAUAAACUAUAUA
rnacentral:misc_RNA from 1 species